CUAGGGGAGAAUCUCUGCGUGGGAAUGUCAGAGGUGACAUGCCUUCUGAUGCUUCUCAUCUGCCCAGGUCAAACUUACUGACUUGCUUCUAACGAAUAGAAUGUGGCGGAAGUGAUGACAUGUGUCUUCUGAGGCUAGAUAGAGAAGACAUCUCCCUGCUGCCUUGCUCUGUCUUGGCUCUCUUACUGUGGCAUGCCAGCGGCAUGCAGUGAAGACGCUUCAGCAGGCUGCAGAGAGGUCUGCAGGGAGAGGAACCAAGGCCUCCCACCAACAGCCAGCACCAGUGUGCCAGCUGUGUGAGUCCACCAUCUUGGAAGCAUUUUCCAGCCCCAGUCAAGCCUCCAGAUGGCUGCAGCCCCAGCCAGCAUAUGACUGUAACUUCAUGAAAGACCAUAAGCCAGAGCCACCCAGCCAAACCACUCCCAAAUUUCUGUUCUGGUGUGAGAUAAUAAAACACUAUUGUUUGAGCUGCUAA
rnacentral:lncRNA from 10 species